CCCUCGUCGCUAGUUGAUUUCUCUAGCGAGACUGCCCCGGCAAAACGGGGAGGAAAGGUGGGGAUGACGUCAAGUCAGCAUGGGCCUUUAUAUCUUGGGCUACACACACGCUACAAUGGAUGGCACAAUAGGUUGCAACAGCGCGAGCUGAAGCGUAAUCCCCAAAAGCCCAUCCUCAGUACAGAUUGCAGGCUGAAACCCGCCUGCAUGAAGUCGGAGUUGCUAGUAACCGCAAAUCAGCAUGUUGCGGUGAAUACGUUCUCGGGCCUU
rnacentral:rRNA from 1 species